ensembl:lincRNA BC028471 cDNA sequence BC028471
ACUUAGGAUCCUAAAGGAUUAAAAAGAGCCUUGGCUUGGGGGCGUCUGAUGAUCCAGGAGCUGGGGUCGUGGAAACAGAAGUGAAGAAAUUGAGACAUGGAAACGCAGGAUAACACCCCGUGUCCAUUCUCAGAAAGACUGUUCUCUGGGAUGUUCCCUAAGACUCUUCUGGGGAUUCCCCUCUGCAUCCUGCCCACCAUGAUGUUGUUGGACUGUUCUGUGACACUGCACCUUCCCCACCUUGACAGAGUAACGCCUCUGAAAGCAGGAGCCCAAAUCAGUUAAGUUCUUUCCUCAAAUAUUUUGGUUAACUGCGUACAAGUAAUGAGUCAUGUGUCUGGUGUCACACUCACUUCAUGGGUCUGAAUGGAAUCCUCCUGCGUCUGUCCUCUUUCUGCGCUUUGCUGGGGUUUUGCUAGUGGGAUGAUGUCCUUCUUCCUCUGGGGCCUUUAAGUCUCACAUUGUCUGUGAGUUGUCCUUUCUCUCUGUACUUGGACAGUCAGCUACCCAGCCCUGGUUUCUGAGGACCGCCCUUUCUUCUUUGUCUCCAAAGCCAGGGUCCUUCUCUGUUAUUAGACGCGACAUCUGAGGGCCUUCCUGACUGACUCUGGAGGGGGGACAUCUGGAUACCUUACUGACUGACUCUGGAGGGGGGACAUCUGGGGGCCUUCCUGACUGACUCUGGAGGGGGGACAUCUGGAUACCUUACUGACUGACUCUGGAGGGGGGACAUCUGAGGGCCUUCCUGACUGACUCUGGAGGGGGGACAUCUGGAUACCUUACUGACUGACUCUGGAGGGGGGACAUCUGAGGGCCUUCCUGACUGACUCUGGAGGGGGGACAUCUGGGGGCCUUCCUGACUGACUCUGGAGGGGGAAGUCGUAGGGGAAGUAGCUAAUUGCCUCUCCUCUCCCACUCCAGCAUGGCUCUCAGAUGUAAACCAACCAGAGCCCCUGCCCUGCCCACCUCCUUUCCUGACUUCUCUUUCUCACAGGUACACUCCACCUUCCUCCAUCACUGCUAGUCCAGGUACCCAGCUCAGGGUAGUCCCUAGAGCCCAGACUUAAGAAGCAUAAUUUUCACCUAAGCUGAGCCUGCUUACUCUUCCAUGACCACUCCCUCCCACAAUGCCCAGUGACGCCCUGUACCCUUCUUCCUCCUCCCUCCUGACCAGGUGCUACCCUCGUGGUGCCCUGGGGUAUAGCAUGGUCCUUAUUCUUGGAACUGAAUGACCUGUCUUGUCAACAGCAGCUGCCUCCUGGUCUGCUGACCUCAUUUCUAAAAUCGGCAGGUUCUGCGUGACUCACUCAUCUCCGUGGAGUCUGGCUGUGUGGUUGUUCCUCUUCGAGGCAGGGCCAGGGCUCUUCCUGCCUUACCCUAGGUAAAUGCACUGAAUAUGACCUGUCUCACUUCAGUGGGUUGUUAGUUCUUCUUUAGAUCAGAUCUUUACCGGUUGUCUCACCCCCUUUCUUUACGGAGCUCCCCACUCCCCGUGCUCUUCACAGGCAAGCAUGCUGGCUUUCUUUGUAAAUAGCCUUACAUAUUCUUGUCCCCUGUGCCUGGUCAUGAGGCCAUCCUUCAGACAACUCCUGCCUUCCCCGUGCCUAAAACUACUCUCUUUCUCCGAGGUCUCACAUUCAGACGUCCUAUGAUGGCUUCUGUAACCUCACGUGCCUCUCUCUGCACAUCAGCAUCACCCAUGUGUGGGUUUCGAUCCCACCACAGAGCAUCCAGUGUUCCCCGCUUUGUGUUCGGGAAUUCUCUCUCCUCAGGGUUAUAUGCACUCUCAGUUCAGGAGACAGACGUUUUGCUUGAUGAUAGGAUGCACUGGUAUCUAAGCAACUGACAUCUUUCUUCUCCUUAAGCCGGGGUAUAAAAUCCACACAUAGAGCAACAGUUGCUACCUGUUGAGCCAGAGCCUGGCUGGAGGGGAAGCCCCAUUUUAUCUCCAUUCUGAGUCCCCGGAAGGCCAGCCCCCAGCUUUCUUAAGUGGAGAGAACUUCAUUCAUUUCCUAAUGGGUCAUACUUGGGGAAAGACUGGAGUUUCUUCAUUUUAGUGUCAGGCCAGUAAGGGGUUGCAAAGUACAGAGUAAGGAAUGAGGGUAAAGCAAGAGGGAUUGGCCCACCAGUGGGAUUUGAGGACUGUCUCUUACAUGGAGGCUGGGAUGGGGAGACUGGAGCAGAAGCCGAGGCAAUCAAACACGCCCCUCACAGUUUUGAUCCGGCUCUCACCUGUUUGAAAGGAAAACAUCUGGCUUGUCUUCCAUUGACCCUGAUGUAAAUGGGUAAAGGAUUUCAGGGCACAUUCCUGAUAGUUCCCUGAGGGACUUCCUAACAAAGGGGUGGAGCCAAGUAGCUCUUGGAAUGGUCUCCCAUCAUAGACAUUGCACUUAGAGUUUGAGCUAUACGAAUAAUUCAGAUGCUACACUGUAAGCCCUAAAUAUACCUUAAGCCCACAAACAACGCCCCUUUGUCCAGCUUUAUGCCUGUGUUCCUUUAAAUGGACUUUCUGUUCCUGACCGCACUGUAAUCAGCAGAUAUCCCUACCGUCCCCCCAUUCCCUCCUCCUCCCUUAAAACGGCUCCUUCUAAUAGCUAGCAUCCUGCAGUGACCAAAGCCAUUAGAAGGAUUGCACCAUUACUAUCCUGUCCAGCACACACAUAAUGCCCCAGGGAUUGCCUUUCUUCUUCUUUGCUUGAUGCUUUUUUGUGGAUGAAAUCGGGGCCCAAUGGUGGGCUGAAAAAAAAAAAAACCGAAGAGGGCAGAAGGUGACAGUAAUUCGUUUCAAGGGCACCUCCCAAACAGCUUUCCCCACUUGAGAUUCCUUUGUGAAGGUGACGGCAGAUGUCAGCCUUGUGGAUAAAGCAGGCUCUGAAAGCACGCGGACAGGUUGCAGACCUCUGUUCCUCGUUACCAUAAUAUUGAAUGCUCAUCUUUUCCCAAGCACGACAGCGAAUAUGUGCUCUGCCUGCUAGCUCACUGUUGUUUGUGCUGGAAAGAACCCGGGCCCAGCCCAGAGCCACGUUGCAGGGCUCAGGACUGCUCUGAAACACUGCCACCUAGUGGCGUGAUGAGGGUUGUAGCUCAGGAAUCCUGGGAGAAGCAUGGAAGAAUCUUCUAGCAUGUGGGGACUCUCGGGACCCAAGAGGGAGAGUAACUCCUAAAGACGUGGAGGCUUCUAGUGCUUCAGGACAGACAAUGGGUCUGAAAUUCUUGCUUGGGGCCAUAUGGAUUGGCCGCGCAGGGAGGAAAUUAUAUUCAGCUUUCUGUUUCUGCUCAACUCUUUCCACUGGAUGUCAUCCACCUGGGGAUGUCAAAAGAGAAAAUACAGGGCGCUGGGCAGAUGGCUCAGUGGCUAAGAGCACUGACAGCUCUGGCAGACAAGCCAGGUUCCUGCCCUGCUUGAGUUCCUGUCCUGACUUCCUUCAAUGAUGAACAGCAAUGUGGAAGUAUAAGCCAAAUAAACCAUUUCUUCCC